UAAAUCACAACAACACUUAAUCUUGAUUUUCAGUGGGAAUACAGGCCAUGCUAGUGUGGCUUCAGGAUCUUCUGACUUUCUAGGUUUUAAACAAGAGAUGUCAGAAAAGUUACCACAGAGCAAACCACCCUGUGACAGUCGACUAUCAGCAAAAUUACUUCAACUCUUUGAUGUCAGCUUUUCCUGUCACCACAAACAGAAAAACAGAAUUCACCAAGUGUUGGUUGGUUUACCCAUUAACAAUAAACACGAGCUAGGUUUAGACUGCCAUGAGACAAGUUAAUUUUAUGCUCCUGAUGAUGUUAUAGCUGCAACCCUGCUCAGUAUGAGGGGUACCACACGUUCAGAUACCUGGUGAGAAGCCAACAGGCCAAAGCUACCAUCUGUGGGAUUAUGGCACCUGCCUGUGUGAAUGGACCCCCCUCUAAAUGCAACAACAGGCAGAGACACAGAGGCUCAGGUAGCCCUGAACAGCUGUUGCCAAAUUUGGCAGCUAUAUGGU
rfam:Fulmarus glacialis contig77140, whole genome shotgun sequence.